rnacentral:rRNA from 1 species
UACGGGGGAAGCAAGCGUUGUUCGGAUUUACUGGGCGUAAAGGGCGCGUAGGCGGCCAGCGCAAGUCAGUUGUGAAAUCUCCGGGCUUAACUCGGAACGGUCAACUGAUACUGCGCGGCUAGAGUGCGGAAGGGGCAACUGGAAUUCUCGGUGUAGCGGUGAAAUGCGUAGAUAUCGAGAGGAACACCUGCGGCGAAGGCGGGUUGCUGGGCCGACACUGACGCUGAUGCGCGAAAGCCAGGGGAGCGAACGGG